rnacentral:misc_RNA from 1 species
AGGCUUUAAAUAGUCGUCUGAGGCAUCUGAGUCGCCCGAGACUCUCGCAGCCUUUUUCUCAUCUUUUUUUCCUCGUCAUUUGGCGAUUUUCAGAGUCGUCGAAUUCGACACUGUGAGUAUUGGAACCGGGUUUAGGGGGUGGCAAAAGGGUCAAAGGAGGGACUCUAGAGAGACGAAACGUUGACAGAAACGAUCUAGACGGUUAUUGGACGGGUCUGAACAAGUCCAGCUUUUAUUGUGUCGUGUUGGUGCUCUUCUAGACCAUUUCUCCACCACUGGUCGUCCGCCCGAUGCGAACUCAGAGCUAGAUGCUGACAGAGCCCAUCUAGAAGCAUCUCUGGUGCUGUAGACAUGUCUGGAAGGGUCUCAGAGGGACUUGGAGCGAUUUCGUCGUGAUUUCCGGUUGAUUUGGCACGUUUCGGUUGAUUUGGAGCUGGCAUUCGGACGGAGUGGGCCAGUAUGGAUGUCGCUCAUUAUCUGCGCCAGAGACAUGAGAAGUUGAACAGAGCUCUCAUACUGCUGAUACGAACAGACCGGUACUUCUUUCGGGGGCUCUCCUACAUUUGAUGACAUGAUACGAAGAGUGUGGUGCAAACCAUGGGCUGGACUUGGUUUCGUCGGCAAAAUUUGCAACAGAGAUGUCAGAGACUAGAGGAGUUGAUUAAUGUGACCACAAAGUCUGUCUGGGUUGAUUAAAACGUCUUAUGAAGUUCUGGAAAUAUUCUCUUCACCACUUUUCACAACUUCUGUUGGAGGAUUUCGAUGUGACAAAAUUCGCAGCAAAAAGGCCACUUACACGAGAAGUUAAUCCAAACCUCCAUCAUAUCCUUCUGAACCACCUACUCCUGUUCUUUGGACGAUCCGAGUCCUCUACGAAAAACUGCGUCUUUUUCUCCCACCCUAUAUUUGCCAUCACGGGUUGCCAUAAAUACGAUGUUUGGAGACUCAAAACGAUUCCAGGAGUUGCUCAUAUGACCCUGUAUAGCUCUCUAUACCCAUAAAUCGACUUAAUCAGCCCCUGUUUUUCUCCUCU